rnacentral:rRNA from 1 species
GACGAACGCUGGCGGCGUGCUUAACACAUGCAAGUCGAGCGGUAAGGCCCUUUCGGGGGGUACACGAGCGGCGAACGGGUGAGUAACACGUGGGUGACCUGCCCUCAGUUCUGGGAUAAGCCUGGGAAACCGGGUCUAAUACCGGAUAUGACUCCAUGACGCAUGUUGUGGGGUGGAAAGCCUUGUGCGGCUGAGGAUGGGCCCGCGGCCUAUCAGCUUGUUGGUGGGGUGANGGCCUACCAAGGCGACGACGGGUAGCCGGCCUGAGAGGGCGACCGGCCACACUGGGACUGAGACACGGCCCAGACUCCUACGGGAGGCA